rnacentral:rRNA from 1 species
UACGUAGGGUGCGAGCGUUGUCCGGAAUUAUUGGGCGUAAAGGGCUCGUAGGCGGUUUGUCGCGUCGGGAGUGAAAACCCAGGGCUUAACUCUGGGCUUGCCUUCGAUACGGGCAGACUAGAGGUAUGCAGGGGAGAACGGAAUUCCUGGUGUAGCGGUGAAAUGCGCAGAUAUCAGGAGGAACACCGGUGGCGAAGGCGGUUCUCUGGGCAUUACCUGACGCUGAGGAGCGAAAGUGUGGGGAGCGAACAGG